GUCGAAGCCCCAUGAUGAUUUCGGAGACUUGAUGCACUAAUCGAUCGAAUCCGACGAUGAAACCAAUUUCCCAGUGAACCUGUUUGCGGCGAUUUGUUAACUGUCGCUGGAUUAUUUUAUUUUUUUAUUUGGCUGGGAUGUCGGUUUCUCCAUUGUGGAAAGUCUCUUUGGCGGAUGGACGAAUCCAGGUGAAUGGCAAUGGAGGAGGUACACACACACACACACACACCGUGUACAUCGAUGUAUGUGGAGUACACGUACCUGCAUGGAACAUCUGAGAGCAAAACGGCUGGAGCUCGUGCCACGCAGAGAGAAAUCAGAUGAGCGGGCGACCGUGGCGGCUAUCAGCAGCAGCAGCCGCAUGGAAAGAAGAAAAGUGAAACCAUCGCUUGGAUUUGAAGAACGAGUCUCCUCCUCCAUUUGUUUUGGCGUCCAGCAUUUGAAAUUGGUCGUAUUUUCUUCUUAGAAAAAAAAACAACAGCAGCUGGCCAGCCCGUUGCUGCCGUGGUGGCCAGCAUUUGCUUUCGCCAAACCGAGAGGCAGUGGGGGUAUUAUAGUCAAAGUUAUGGCGCAUCUCAUCAUCAUAAUCGGCCGCAGACGACACAGGCGACUGUCGUUGUCUCACGCUCCUCAUCAUGGCGACCUCCCACGGUUGUCAUUAAAGAGACGGCCGUUAAUGCGUUGGAUAUUUUCGCAGAGCCGCUCAGUCGCACGAUAUCGUAAACUUGUAAUUUGUUUCCACCCAUUAUAGAUCUUGUUUUGAUUAGAUAAUGAUACAGAGCGAGGGCAGAAUCGUUUGUCGAGCGUGAAUUUCUCGAUCCGGCUUUCGCUCUCGCUGUGUAUAAUAUUCCCGGUGAGAUAUUAGUUGAUGUCUAAAAAUAAGAAUUUUUUGGCUGGUGUGGUCAGCCCUGUUUAAAAAACCUCGGGAAACAAAAAGUUAAGGAAUUUCUUUCGGUCGGUCUCUAUACUUUUUUCUUUCGAAUUUUUACGAGCUCCAGAUGUUUUUGGCGUGCCCGUCAUUCAGCCAGGCAUAAUAGUGGCACGGUGACUCUUUAUUUUUUUUUUGUUCUUUCUUUCACAGUCUGUUUAACCAAUGGGCCAUUAUGCAUCCCGGUCGUCGUCGUCGGCUGUGUGUGUGUGUGUAUCUCAUUUCACCUGAUGUCGUCAUGCCGAGAUUCAAGUUGGAAAACAGAAGACCACCACAUCCUCUCUCUCUCUCUCUUUUUUCUUGGAAAAUUGAGUUAGUUCCAUUGUCCAUCCGUCCCCAGAAAGAGAAACAUGCUACAGAUAUUCGACUCAAGUCAUUAAAAAUUUGGAGGGGCUCGCGACUUGAGAAUGGACCCAUUUUGGCAGCUACAACCGACCAGCAACAGUUCAAUAAAAGAAAGUUAAGAUUAUUGAGUCGUCAAGAUCGACACUACACACUCAAGAUAACUAGCAGCCGCGUAAACCGAGGGAAGGGCCGCGUUCACCGCGAUGCACGAUAUAAUUCCCGAUUGGCUUGCUGACAAUCCAUCGGUAGCUGGUCGAUGUCGACAUACAAAAUGAACAUGAUUACGUAUACAACAAUACGGAUUUGGCAAUUUCUGCCUGGCACCUGGACGUCAAAGACACGAACGCACUUGUCAAAACCGCAAUACAAUUUUUCUCCGUCUGGACUGAUGC